GAAGUCUUAGCUUAGUUAAAGUGGCUGAGUUGCACUUCCGAGAUGUAUAUUAGAAUUAUGCAGGCUUUG
rnacentral:tRNA from 1 species